CCAGCAGCUGCGGUAAUUCCAGCUCCAAGAGUGUAUAUUAAAGUUGUUGCGGUUAAAAAGCUCGUAGUUGGACCUUGAGAUUGAGCAUAACGGUCCUCCUCGGUUCGCUGAGGGGAUCAAGGCCGAGUGUUUCUCUCUCUAUUCUAUAAAACGUUAACGGGGGUCUUGGUUUCGAUCGGGAUUCUCGGUUUUGUGGGAUUUACUUUGAAAAAAUUAGGGUGUUCAAAGCAGGCUCAAUGGGCCUUGAAUACAUUAGCAUGGGAUAAUGAAAGAUGACCUUCGGUCUAAACUUUAUUGGUUUCUAAGGCCAAGGUAAUGAUUGAUAGGGACAGUUGGGGUCGCUCGUAUUC
rnacentral:rRNA from 1 species